rnacentral:rRNA from 1 species
UACGUAGGGCGCAAGCGUUGUCCGGAAUUAUUGGGCGUAAAGAGCUCGUAGGCGGCUUGUCACGUCGAUUGUGAAAGCCCGAGGCUUAACCUCGGGUCUGCAGUCGAUACGGGCUAGCUAGAGUGUGGUAGGGGAGAUCGGAAUUCCUGGUGUAGCGGUGAAAUGCGCAGAUAUCGGGAGGAACACCAGUGGCGAAGGCGGCACACUGGUCCGGUACUGACGCUGAGGUGCGAAAGCGUGGGGAGCAAACAGG